GACGAACGCUGGCGGCGUGCUUAACACAUGCAAGUCGAACGGUAAGGCCCUUCGGGGUACACGAGUGGCGAACGGGUGAGUAACACGUGGGUGAUCUGCCCUGCACUUCGGGAUAAGCCUGGGAAACUGGGUCUAAUACCGGAUAGGACCACUGCCUGCAUGGGUGGUGGUGGAAAGCUUUUGCGGUGUGGGAUGGGCCCGCGGCCUAUCAGCUUGUUGGUGGGGUGAUGGCCUACCAAGGCGACGACGGGUAGCCGGCCUGGGAGGGUGACCGGCCACACUGGGACUGGGAUACGGGCCAGACUCCUCCGGGAGGCAGCAGUGGGGAAUAUUGCACAAUGGGCGCAAGCCUGAUGCAGCGACGCCGCGUGAGGGAUGACGGCCUUCGGGUUGUAAACCUCUUUCAGCACCGACGAAGCGCAAGUGACGGUAGGUGCAGAAGAAGGACCGGCCAACUACGUGCCAGCCGCCGCCGUAA
rnacentral:rRNA from 1 species